CCUACGGGAGGCAGCAGUGGGGAAUAUUAGACAAUGGGGGCAACCCUGAUCCAGCCAUGCCGCGUGUGUGAAGAAGGCCCUCGGGUUGUAAAGCACUUUCAGUGAGGAAGAACGCCUGGUGGUUAAUACCCAUCAGGAAAGACAUCACUCACAGAAGAAGCACCGGCUAACUCCGUGCCAGCAGCCGCGGUAAUACGGAGGGUGCGAGCGUUAAUCGGAAUUACUGGGCGUAAAGCGCGCGUAGGUGGCUUGAUAAGCCGGUUGUGAAAGCCCCGGGCUCAACCUGGGAACGGCAUCCGGAACUGUCAAGCUAGAGUGCAGGAGAGGAAGGUAGAAUUCCCGGUGUAGCGGUGAAAUGCGUAGAGAUCGGGAGGAAUACCAGUGGCGAAGGCGGCCUUCUGGACUGACACUGACACUGAGGUGCGAAAGCGUGGGUAGCAAACAGGAUUAGAUACCCCAGUAGUC
rnacentral:rRNA from 1 species